CAGGGUGUUUUUUACUUGUCUGCUCUUCUAAAGAGGAUUUGAGCUGAGACCUCAAAAGGUGAGCAGGAGAAAAGGCUUCACUUUUUCAAGCAGGAACAUUGGCUUUUUGGUGGUCUGGCUCUGAGGACUUGCCUGUUACAUGGGUUUAUUCUGAACAGCUCUCCAGGAUGUCUCUCUGAGUAGAUCAGGGGCUUUGAAAUACAGUUUCAUAUUUGUAUCAUCCACUGUAUUUGAAAUGCACUCUGCUUUAAUGCUAACAGAUUUUAGGCAAAGUUCUUGACAGUUUGUUGAAAACAAAGUAUUUUUGUGGAAGUAUUUUCUACUUUGAAAGAUUUUUUGAGAAAUGUGUUUAGAUCCAGAUUGGUUUGUGUGUGAACAGAGAGGGCAGACCUGCAGCACAGGCACUGGGACUCACGUGGCAUGUGGGAGACUGAAAUGCACAAGUCUCAAUUCAAAAAUGAAAGCAAGUCUUGAAAUCAAAUACAGUUCUUGUACACUAUGAAGUCCUUGAGAUUCAGCCUACUUCAGAGUAUAUUUUUCAAAUUAAGUCAUCCUAAUUUCUCAUUUCUUUAAAUAUAGAAGGAUCCAGUUACAUUUGGGAUACAAUUUUUAUGUGGGAAAGGAAAGCUGAGGAACGAGUCAAUCAAGGACUGGUCAUGCACAGAGUAAAGAGACAUUUUUCAGAAGGCCAAAAGGUACAACCUAAUCCUUGAUGAUGCUGACAGACCUGUGGAGAUCAACAUUCAGCAGAUGGGGCUAUACCCUUCUGAUACUGUGUUUCUAAACUUUGUCCUGCUCCAGAGUAGUAUUUUAGGGGUAGCUCUGUAAGGUUCAUCCAGUGCUGUGGUAUAGGACAGGAGCUGUGCACAUCCCUGCUGCUUCCCAGGGUGGCUGAUGCAAAGGGACCAGAGGCAGGACUGUAAGAACAGAGCAGAAAAUACAUUUAAUAACAUGUAUUCAUGUUUGGGGAUUUUUUUUGUCACUGGAGGCUGCAAGACUGACAGAGGCAGAGCCAGUCCCUGCUGUCUCUUGAAUGUUAAAAAAUAAUAACAAAAACCCCGUCUUCAGUGCUGCUACUGGUUUGGUAGGAUGCAAAUUUGGUAUUCACCCUCAGUACUGUUCUCCAUUUAGCUGAAAAUCAUAUUUUUCCUUGGAAUAGAAAGAAAUGAAAUUGUUUCCUCAGUCAUCCAUGGGACCUAUUGUCUCAAGGCACAGUGAGGUACAGGCAGCCAGCCUCUGCCAUUGUCCAGCUACCACACAACCUUCACUGCCAAGGGACUCAUCCUUACCUCAGAUACAUGAGGUAAGUGCCUUACACUGCCUUGAGGAGAAACGGGCAAUUAUUGGAAGUAAUGAUCUAGUAAUAAAGGUCAAAUUUUAAUGAGCAGGGACAUGGCCUAGCUUAAUAACUCCUGUUUUCUGUUUCAGGACAAGAAAAGUUAUUUGCUUCAAGGUGAAUGGUGUACUCUGCUUUGUCUCCUUGCUCGUUUAGGAUUUAGGCAAUAGAUAGUUAAGGCAGUCUGAUUUUUUUUUUUUUCAGCUAGCUAGUCUGUGAAUUAUAGCAGAUUUGGGCUAUUUUUGGAGAGUUUUGAGGCAGAGAUGCUUACAACAGCUUGUAGAAAGGACAAGAAUUGCUUUUGUAAAAUUCUCCUUAAUGUGCCAGCAUCUGUGUAACUCAGUGUUGCUGUUAUUUGGUCCGUAGGUUUCAGGAGCUUCUUUUUUGCCAUUUGUCUCCCAUUUCUGGAGGUAGGGAGAGGUAAGACCUUCCAUCCUGGUGAAAGCACAAAACUUGAUUGUUUUCAGAUGAAGCUCCAACUGCAAGCUGCACAGCCAAGAGGGGCUGGCAAUGGUCACACCAUACAUCUUGCUAGCUUUUUUCAAUUUAUUUUUGUCACCCCACAAGUACUACCUUCUCUGUCUCACUACAGAAGAAUUCUUUGAGGAAAGACAACAAAGGACAAGAUGAUAGCUUUAUACCAUCUGAGAUGGCUUUCAGAGAAUGGUAUGAGACUCCAAAUAAUUCCUUUGGUGCAGGAAAGAGAAAUGUUUUAUUUGAGGAAAAGUAAACAAGGACAACUCUUAAGCCUGGAGCUUUCAGUGACAGUUCCUUUCCUAUUUUCACCUUGCUGAAAUUCAAGAUAUAUAUAGAAAUUUUGAUAGAAAAAUUUAGUUGGACAAUAAAGACAGAGUACUGGGGGUCUAUGGAUGUCUUCAUUUUUUAUACUUCUUAUAAGAAAAGGUCAGGAUUGUUAAUUUCUGUUAGAAGAAGGCACAGUGUGCUGACUUUUCUGUCAGUACUUCAUCCAUUUGCUUAGGCUUUCUGUCUGCAACCAACUGAGCUGAGCAGUGUGGUUGUGUGCAUUUCUGCCUGCAACACAGAGGGUUUCACUGGACAGAGACUAUGCUAUUUAAAAUCUAAUCAUCUUUAUUGUUUGAAUGGGGGCAGAGGGGGGAAUGUAGAAAUGCAGCUUUGUGCAUGUGUGUCUCAUGUCUCCUGGCACAAAACUUUUUUGGCAGACAUUAGGAAAGCACAUUUGUCUCAGGCUUAGCACCCUGGUCUUAGUGUGUCUUACAACACAAGUACUGAUUUUAAUUUUUUUUUAAUUGUAGCUCAUCAUUGUGGUGAGGUUUUUGUUUGUUUAGUUGAAUUUUUGGGGGUGAAUGGUAGGGUUUUGGGGUUUUUUAAAUAUAAUUUAUUUAACAGGAAGUUUCAUGCUUUUGCUCAGGAUGAGCUUUUCUGAUGAGUGCUGCACUCUAGGCCUUGACACCUGAGUGUGGACUUACUGAGGGAGUGACCAGCCCUGCUUGAGCUGCGAGCUUGAAACACAUGUGAAUAAGAGGGUGGUUAGAAAUCAGAAGAUUGACCUUGUGCUAUAUUAAGGCAACUCUAGGACCAAUGAAAUGAGCAUUCACAAGUCAAAAAAAUCUGGAAUUGCAAAAUGCUUGCUUUAUCAACACAGACACAGCUUGGCAGUAAUUGCUGUAGGAUAUCUAAAUUAAGCAAUGAGGCUUCUGUGGUGGCAACUGCUAUGAAAGACUUUGCAAUGUACAUCAGCUCCUCCAAGACCCAAAUGCACUUUUACAUUCAAGGAGGAGUUGUCAGCACUGAGAUCCUCACAAACAAGCCACUGAGGCCCGAAAUCAGCAAAAUACUUUUAAGCAUAUCUUUAAGCUCUUCGUUGUUGAUGAGGGUAGACAUAAGCUCUGAAUUAUUUGUGCUGAACCAGGGAGAUGGGAUGCUCCUUGACUAUCUUUUUAAAACACUUAAACACUAGCUGUGCCCUGAAAUGCAGAGCCUGGGAUGCUGCUGCCUUACCCUCUCUCAAGCUGCACUUGUCCUCUGUGAAUAUGCUCACUAACCUUCAAGUAACUUGCCUUGCAUCUCAUUCUUUGUGGGAAUUUUGCCUAUCCCAAGUGCUUAUCAGUUUAGAGGAAUAGGCAUAAUGCUGUAUUCAGCUUUAACUGGAGCACUUUUGAUAACUGUCCGUCUUAUUCAAAUACUGCUGAUCAUGGGAUUAUUAAAUAAUCUGAAAGACAAAUAGAGGAUGAAGCCAGGAGGAGAACUGACUGCCUUUUAUGUGUUUGCAUCUAUAUCAUAAUGAGCUAUUGGCAGAUACUCCAUCCCUAUCAGCACAGCUAGCAUUUUGGAGUUCACCACAGGAGGCAGCAAAAGGGAGAAAAGAACUCCCCAUCCCCUCCCCAAAGCAGCAGGCAAUCACAGCUGUUCUCAAGGAGAAGGUUUGUGUCAGCAGAUCUUAUACAGCUAUGCUCAAAAAGUUUGUGUCAGCAACCAUAAAAGCUGGCCCAUCAGCAUUUCUGUUUUAUUCCAUACACAAAAUGCAUAUUACUGAACAAUUAUGCCAAAGGCAGGGAAUAUUUCUUGAUAGCACAACUUGGAAGUAGCAUCUCCCUGUGGGAGCAAUCAUGUCACGUGCCACAGAAGUCUGUGUGGGUUUAGAUGUAAAUCCUUGUUGUGGGUCCUUGCUGUAAGAUUGUGUUGAGAGCCAAGUCAUUUGGUGUUACAUCUUGGCCAAAGCAGUCUUGGCCAAAGUUCAGGGAAAGUAGUGAAUUGCUGGUAGUUCUAAAAAGCAUGUUCAAGCAUGUUCCCCAAAAACAUAUUCAUUGUAAAGGAAGCUUAGUGAUGUUUAGAUUUUUGGCCUCCAAAGUCUUCAGAGAAUAUGUAAAACACAUAGUGAUUUUGGUGUGCAGUUCAAACUAGCUGGUGUAGAGUAGAAAGGAGAACUAGAGUGAAUUUUGAAUAAAAAUUGAUUUACUGCUUUAAUAUAUGUUUAUUGCUCUAGCUCAACCACCACUUAUUUAACUGUGUUUUGAUUUUUUCCAUUAAGAAAGGUGUUUUAAUUCCUAUUUUGUCAAAAGCCACAGUUCAGAACAUUUAUUUAUUUCAGUGUUCAGAACUUCGGUGGAGGAACAAAAAUUGGGUUUUAAUUUCACUUUUUAUUGAAUGAGCCCUGCUUUUCUCUUCUCUGAAUAAGCAACAACUUGCUGCAUGGUCCUCAUCUCUGCUUAUGAUAAAAACAAGUUCUAUAAGAAACAAACCAAAGAAACCCAAGCAAAACAUCAUGCUUAAACUAGUUAAGGAAAUAGGAGAAGCGUAAAAACCUACAGACACUCACUGUGGAUUUGAUAUCUGUCCAUAUACAGGAGCUUGACUAAUUAAUUGCAUGAGUGUCCAAAUCUGAUUUCUGAUACUACAAACCACUUUGGACAUGGGACUCCGGUGAUCCAAAUCAGUGUGGAAAUGGCUGUGAUGCUGAGAUCUGCCUUGUGUACUUGUUACUUCCAGUCUGCCGUUGGAGGCAACUGCUGCCAACCCCUCAGCCAGCACAGCAGAUUUCAUGAGACACCAUUUCUUUGAGAUUAUUUAUGAUAGAUCUGGAUACCUGUGCUAGGCAAUGAAGGGAGUGCAAAGAUUAGGUGUCCUCAGAAGUUUGCAACCAGGCUACUGGUCCCAGGAGAUAACAUCCAGCCAGGAGGGGGUGUGUGUCACUAUAACAACUUUAAAAAUAGGAAACAAAAUGUCAAACCCCGAAAUGAAACCAAACAAAGCCCACCAAAAAAACCCCACCAUCAACAGGAACAGCAAAGUCUGUUGCAAAGUUAUCUGACCACAGCUGAAGCUAGACUUAAAAGGAGACUCCACCUAUGCAAGAGCUGCAUAAGUUUUAACAAAACAAUAACAAAGGAGGCAAGAUAGAAGAAACGUUUUCAUGGAGUUGCACUUUCCUUUCUCUUUUCCUUUCUCUUUUCCUUUCUCUUUUCCUUUCUCUUUUCCUUUCUCUUUUCCUUUCUCUUUUCCUUUCUCU